rnacentral:rRNA from 1 species
AGCGAACGCUGGCGGCAGGCCUAACACAUGCAAGUCGAACGAACCCUUCGGGGUUAGUGGCGGACGGGAGAGUAACACGUGGGAACGCGCCUUUAGGUUCGGAAUAACUCAGGAAAACUUGUGCUAAUACCGAAUGUGCCCUUGGGGGGAAAGAUUUAUCGCCUUUAGAGCGGCCCGCGUCUGAUUAGAUAGUUGGUGGGGAAAUGGCUCACCAAGGCUACGACCAGUAGCUGGUCGGCGAGGAUUACCAGUCACAUUGGGACUGAGACACGGCCCAAACUCCUACGGGUGGCAGCAGUGGGGGAUGUUGCACAAUGGGCGAAAGGCUGACGCAGCCAUGCCGCGGGGAUGAUGAAGGUCUUAGGAUUGUAAAAGCCUUUCACCGGUGAAGAUAAGGACUGUAGCCGGAGAAGAAGCCCCGGCUAACUUCGUGCCAGCCGCCGCGGUAAAAC